GUGGCAUAGUGGUUAGAGCAUUCGCCUCGGAUGAGAGAGGUCGCAGGUUCAAACUCCGGCCGAAUCA